GCCUCCAUAGCUCAGUGGCAGAGCACUGGUCUUGUAAACCAGGGGUCGUGAGAUCGUUCCUCACUGGGAGUG
rnacentral:tRNA from 1 species